GAUGUACGCUGGCGGCGUGCCUAAUACAUGCAAGUCGAGCGAACAGACGAGGAGCUUGCUCCUCUGACGUUAGCGGCGGACGGGUGAGUAACACGUGGAUAACCUACCUAUAAGACUGGGAUAACUUCGGGAAACCGGAGCUAAUACCGGAUAAUAUAUUGAACCGCAUGGUUCAAUAGUGAAAGACGGUUUUGCUGUCACUUAUAGAUGGAUCCGCGCCGCAUUAGCUAGUUGGUAAGGUAACGGCUUACCAAGGCGACGAUGCGUAGCCGACCUGAGAGGGUGAUCGGCCACACUGGAACUGAGACACGGUCCAGACUCCUACGGGAGGCAGCAGUAGGGAAUCUUCCGCAAUGGGCGAAAGCCUGACGGAGCAACGCCGCGUGAGUGAUGAAGGUUUUCGGAUCGUAAAACUCUGUUAUUAGGGAAGAACAAAUGUGUAAGUAACUAUGCACGUCUUGACGGUACCUAAUCAGAAAGCCACGGCUAACUACGUG
rnacentral:rRNA from 1 species